AUUGUCAAAUCUAAGCCUAACCUAGGCAUUGAAUGGGAUAGCAACACUGCAGAAUGAUGCUUACUCCUUUUCUUUUCUUUUCUUUUCUUUCUUUAUUUCUUUCUUUCUAUUUGUGUGUGUGUGUGUGUGUGUGUGUGUAUUGCCAAAAAUAUUUUAAGCACCUUUUGUGCAAAAACAAGGCAACCAUAGUUACAGCCUUAGAAGUGGUUCACUUUAUUGACAAGUAAUGCUUGAAGCAAGACGUUCUUUUUUUUUCUUUUUUUCUUUUUUUAAGAUGGCAAGGAUUUGUCAAAAGAAA